rnacentral:rRNA from 1 species
GAUGAACGCUAGCUACAGGCUUAACACAUGCAAGUCGAGUGGAAACGGCAUCGAAAGCUUGCUUUUGAUGGGCGUCGACCGGCGCACGGGUGAGUAACGCGUAUCCAACCUGCCCAUCACUUGGGAAUAACCUUGCGAAAGUAAGACUAAUGCCCAAUGACAUCCCACGAAGGCAUCCGAAUGGGAUUAAAGAUUUAUCGGUGAUGGAUGGGGAUGCGUCUGAUUAGCUUGUUGGCGGGGUGACGGCCCACCAAGGCAACGAUCAGUAGGGGUUCUGAGAGGAAGGUCCCCCACAUUGGAACUGAGACACGGUCCAAACUCCUACGGGAGGCAGCAGUGAGGAAUAUUGGUCAAUGGGCGAGAGCCUGAACCAGCCAAGUAGCGUGCAGGAUGACGGCCCUAUGGGUUGUAAACUGCUUUUAUAAGGGAAUAAAGUGGGUCACGUGUGACUUUUUGCAUGUACCUUAUGAAUAAGGACCGGCUAAUUCCGUG